rnacentral:misc_RNA from 1 species
CACCACUGCCAACUGUUCCAGGAACAAGCAGCGAGGCGCUCGCUCUGCCUGCGUUGGCCUUGACGGAAACAGCUGCAAGCACAGCGCUCAGCAAGAGCGGUACUCGUAGUCUUCCCCUUUUUUGUCUUUGUUUGGCUGCAGCCCAUGCCUGCCAGCGGCAGCAGCGACAGUGUGGCCGACAUGAUGGCCAAGGCGGUUACGAGCUCUGGCGACUUCUACGGUGGGCGCGACGGGGUGCAAGGCAUCCAAGACCGCAAGGACGCCGUUCGAGAGAAGCGCCGCGAGCAGAAGAACACGCUCUCGCAGUGGUACGGCAUGAAGAAGAGGCCGCUCAGUGAGGACCAGAAGCAGGAGAUUGAGCUGCUCAAGUACCGCAACUUUGUGGACCCAGAGCGUCAGCACCAAGCACCCAAGAAGGCAGCCGGCGUAGGGGAGAGCGAGUUCAUGGAGUUCGGCUACUUUGCCGAUGUGGGGCGCAACAAGCGUCGUCGCUACAAGUCCUUCGCGGAUGAGUGGAUUGAGGAGAACCCGCAGUUCGAGGAGGUGGUCGCCACGCGUAUCAAGCGCAACACGAAGGUGAAUCAAAAGUCGAGGGCGGCCGCCGCGAAGAAGGCGGCGGUAGAGGCGGCCAAGGCGAAGGAGAAGCGUGCCUCGAAGCGCAAGUCCAAGCACGACGUGUUCUAAGCGUCAGAUGAGGGAAUGGGGGGUGGUGGUGCUGGAUGGGCCGGGGUAGAGAAGCACACUGCCGUGGGCGCAUGCGCCCUUUUUGCCAUGUGCUCUUGUGGUGUGUAUGUGCAUAGCGCCGCCGCCGCCGUCUCCCUUCUUUCCCUACCGUGACUGCGUUGGCGUGUUCCGCGCUUGCGCGGAUGUGCUGUUGCUUUAUGGACUCCCUGAAAGGGGGCCAGUCAUGCCGGUACUGCGGUAUUCGGCGCGAUGGACACCGAUCUGCCGCCGCUGCUGCUGCUGCUUCUUACCUCUUGCAGUCGUGAGCGUCGCUGAUGAUGCCGGCGCCGCGCCGGAGCGUUGUCAUUAUGCUCGCCUGUGUGUGCGCAGUGGAGAUAUUGUCUUUCCCUCUCUCUGCACGUGUGCGUGUGUGUGGAUGUGGAGGAGGGAGGAGCGGCCUUGUCCAGCAUGUGUGCGCCGUCUUCUUAUGUUUGCGGCUGCUGGCCUUCUGCUCUCCGCCGAGUGGGCAACGGAUGCGAGUGUGCGUGCACGCGUGCGCAUCUGUCUAUGGGCAAGUCAGUGAGCACACAAAAAAAUGCACACGCUCCGCCGCCAUUCAUGAAGCCGCGCAUGCGAGCCCUUCACACGAUCGCCGCACCCUCGCUGUCUCCCGCACCUCUUCUCUGAGGUUGUUCCCUUCCUUUCGUUUUGUUGUCUCUCGUAAGCUGCCGUAUCGUGCAACGACGUAACCGAAAAGAACAAAAAAUGAAGCGAAAGAAGGGCUCAGCAGCAGGCCAUUGUGGCAUGGCAAGCGUACGCGCAGGGCCGCAUGCUACCCCUUUUCUCCUUGUGC